GCCAGGCACAGGGGUGUGUGCCUGUAAUCCCAGCAACCCGGGAGGCUGAGGCAGGAGGAAUACAAGUUUGAGACCAGCCUCAA
rnacentral:sRNA from 1 species